rnacentral:rRNA from 1 species
AUUGAACGCUGGCGGCAUGCUUUACACAUGCAAGUCGAACGGUAACAGGCCUUCGGGUGCUGACGAGUGGCGAACGGGUGAGUAAUGCAUCGGAACGUACCCAGAGGUGGGGGAUAACGCAGCGAAAGCUGUGCUAAUACCGCAUGUGAUCUGAGGAUGAAAGCGGGGGACCGAGCAGCAAUGUUUGGCCUCGCGCCUUUGGAGCGGCCGAUGUCGGAUUAGCUAGUUGGUGGGGUAAAGGCCUACCAAGGCGACGAUCCGUAGCUGGUCUGAGAGGACGACCAGCCACACUGGGACUGAGACACGGCCCAGACUCCUACGGGAGGCAGCAGUGGGGAAUUUUGGACAAUGGGCGCAAGCCUGAUCCAGCAAUGCCGCGUGCGGGAAGAAGGCCUUCGGGUUGUAAACCGCUUUUGGCAGGAACGAAACGGUGUCCGCUAAUACCGGGCGCUAAUAACGGUACCUGCAGAAUAAGCACCGGCUAACUACGUG